rnacentral:rRNA from 3 species
UUAAGCGACUAAGCGUACACGGUGGAUGCCCUGGCAGUCAGAGGCGAUGAAGGACGUGCUAAUCUGCGAUAAGCGUCGGUGAGGUGAUAUGAACCGUUAUAACCGGCGAUUUCCGAAUGGGGAAACCCAGUGUGUUUCGACACACUAUCAUUAACUGAAUCCAUAGGUUAAUGAGGCGAACCGGGGGAACUGAAACAUCUAAGUACCCCGAGGAAAAGAAAUCAACCGAGAUUCCCCCAGUAGCGGCGAGCGAACGGGGAGGAGCCCAGAGCCUGAAUCAGUGUGUGUGUUAGUGGAAGCGUCUGGAAAGGCGCGCGAUACAGGGUGACAGCCCCGUACACAAAAAUGCACAUAUUGUGAGCUCGAUGAGUAGGGCGGGACACGUGGUAUCCUGUCUGAAUAUGGGGGGACCAUCCUCCAAGGCUAAAUACUCCUGACUGACCGAUAGUGAACCAGUACCGUGAGGGAAAGGCGAAAAGAACCCCGGCGAGGGGAGUGAAAAAGAACCUGAAACCGUGUACGUACAAGCAGUGGGAGCCUCUUUAUGGGGUGACUGCGUACCUUUUGUAUAAUGGGUCAGCGACUUAUAUUCUGUAGCAAGGUUAACCGAAUAGGGGAGCCGAAGGGAAACCGAGUCUUAACUGGGCGUUAAGUUGCAGGGUAUAGACCCGAAACCCGGUGAUCUAGCCAUGGGCAGGUUGAAGGUUGGGUAACACUAACUGGAGGACCGAACCGACUAAUGUUGAAAAAUUAGCGGAUGACUUGUGGCUGGGGGGGAAAGGCCAAUCAAACCGGGAGAUAGCUGGUUCUCCCCGAAAGCUAUUUAGGUAGCGCCUCGUGAAUUCAUCUCCGGGGGUAGAGCACUGUUUCGGCAAGGGGGUCAUCCCGACUUACCAACCCGAUGCAAACUGCGAAUACCGGAGAAUGUUAUCACGGGAGACACACGGCGGGUGCUAACGUCCGUCGUGAAGAGGGAAACAACCCAGACCGCCAGCUAAGGUCCCAAAGUCAUGGUUAAGUGGGAAACGAUGUGGGAAGGCCCAGACAGCCAGGAUGUUGGCUUAGAAGCAGCCAUCAUUUAAAGAAAGCGUAAUAGCUCACUGGUCGAGUCGGCCUGCGCGGAAGAUGUAACGGGGCUAAACCAUGCACCGAAGCUGCGGCAGCGACACUAUGUGUUGUUGGGUAGGGGAGCGUUCUGUAAGCCUGUGAAGGUGGCCUGUGAGGGUUGCUGGAGGUAUCAGAAGUGCGAAUGCUGACAUAAGUAACGAUAAAGCGGGUGAAAAGCCCGCUCGCCGGAAGACCAAGGGUUCCUGUCCAACGUUAAUCGGGGCAGGGUGAGUCGACCCCUAAGGCGAGGCCGAAAGGCGUAGUCGAUGGGAAACAGGUUAAUAUUCCUGUACUUGGUGUUACUGCGAAGGGGGGACGGAGAAGGCUAUGUUGGCCGGGCGACGGUUGUCCCGGUUUAAGCGUGUAGGCUGGUUUUCCAGGCAAAUCCGGAAAACCAAGGCUGAGGCGUGAUGACGAGGCACUACGGUGCUGAAGCGACAAAUGCCCUGCUUCCAGGAAAAGCCUCUAAGCAUCAGGUAACAUCAAAUCGUACCCCAAACCGACACAGGUGGUCAGGUAGAGAAUACCAAGGCGCUUGAGAGAACUCGGGUGAAGGAACUAGGCAAAAUGGUGCCGUAACUUCGGGAGAAGGCACGCUGAUAUGUAGGUGAAGCGACUUGCUCGUGGAGCUGAAAUCAGUCGAAGAUACCAGCUGGCUGCAACUGUUUAUUAAAAACACAGCACUGUGCAAACACGAAAGUGGACGUAUACGGUGUGACGCCUGCCCGGUGCCGGAAGGUUAAUUGAUGGGGUUAGCGGUAACGCGAAGCUCUUGAUCGAAGCCCCGGUAAACGGCGGCCGUAACUAUAACGGUCCUAAGGUAGCGAAAUUCCUUGUCGGGUAAGUUCCGACCUGCACGAAUGGCGUAAUGAUGGCCAGGCUGUCUCCACCCGAGACUCAGUGAAAUUGAACUCGCUGUGAAGAUGCAGUGUACCCGCGGCAAGACGGAAAGACCCCGUGAACCUUUACUAUAGCUUGACACUGAACAUUGAGCCUUGAUGUGUAGGAUAGGUGGGAGGCUUUGAAGUGUGGACGCCAGUCUGCAUGGAGCCGACCUUGAAAUACCACCCUUUAAUGUUUGAUGUUCUAACGUUGGCCCGUAAUCCGGGUUGCGGACAGUGUCUGGUGGGUAGUUUGACUGGGGCGGUCUCCUCCUAAAGAGUAACGGAGGAGCACGAAGGUUGGCUAAUCCUGGUCGGACAUCAGGAGGUUAGUGCAAUGGCAUAAGCCAGCUUGACUGCGAGCGUGACGGCGCGAGCAGGUGCGAAAGCAGGUCAUAGUGAUCCGGUGGUUCUGAAUGGAAGGGCCAUCGCUCAACGGAUAAAAGGUACUCCGGGGAUAACAGGCUGAUACCGCCCAAGAGUUCAUAUCGACGGCGGUGUUUGGCACCUCGAUGUCGGCUCAUCACAUCCUGGGGCUGAAGUAGGUCCCAAGGGUAUGGCUGUUCGCCAUUUAAAGUGGUACGCGAGCUGGGUUUAGAACGUCGUGAGACAGUUCGGUCCCUAUCUGCCGUGGGCGCUGGAGAACUGAGGGGGGCUGCUCCUAGUACGAGAGGACCGGAGUGGACGCAUCACUGGUGUUCGGGUUGUCAUGCCAAUGGCACUGCCCGGUAGCUAAAUGCGGAAGAGAUAAGUGCUGAAAGCAUCUAAGCACGAAACUUGCCCCGAGAUGAGUUCUCCCUGACUCCUUGAGAGUCCUGAAGGAACGUUGAAGACGACGACGUUGAUAGGCCGGGUGUGUAAGCGCAGCGAUGCGUUGAGCUAACCGGUACUAAUGAACCGUGAGGCUUAACCUU